GAUGAACGCUGGCGGUGUGCCUAAUACAUGCAAGUCGAACGAACAGACGAGGAUCUUUCUCCUCUGACGUUAGCGGCGGACGGGUGAGUGACACGUGGAUAACCUACCUAUAGGACAUGGAGGACUUCGGGAGACCGGCGCUGAUGCAGGAGAAUAUAUUCAAGCGCAUGGUUCCAUAUUUGAUUACGGUUUUGAUGUUGAAUAUAGACGGGUUCGCGUCGCAUUAGCUCGUUGGUGAGGUAAAGACUCACCAAGGCAGCGAUGAGUAGCCGGCCUGAGAGGAUGACCAGCCACACUGGGACUGAGACACGGCCGAGGCUCCUACGGGAGGCAGCAGUGGGGAAUUAUCCGCAAUGGGCGAAAGCCUGACGGAGCAAUACCGCGUGAGGGAAGAAGGCUCUUGGGUUGUAAACCUCUUUUCUUAGGGAAGAACAAAAUGACGGUACCUAAGGAAUCAGCAUCGGCUAACUCCGUG
rnacentral:rRNA from 1 species